CGAUAUGACGUCAUAAGUGUGCGCCACACUGUUGUAAUUUGGCUGAAGAAAGAAAAACUCCUGGUGAAGGUGCUUACAUGAGAUCCACGUGACGCAUUAUUAUAAAGAUGGCGUUUAUUAAAGAGGAGAGUGAAGACAUGAAGAUUGAAGAAACAUUCAAAGUGAAACAAGAAGAUACUGAGGAAAAAACAGACCUAAGGGUGCUGAAAGAGGAGAGUGAAGUACUGAAUGAAAUGGAGAAGAAUCAAUGUGAG